rnacentral:rRNA from 1 species
UAGGGAAUCUUCGGCAAUGGGGGGAACCCUGACCGAGCAACGCCGCGUGAGUGAAGAAGGUUUUCGGAUCGUAAAGCUCUGUUGUUAAGGAAGAACGAGUGUGAGAAUGGAAAGUUCAUGCUGUGACGGUACUUAACCAGAAAGGGACGGCUAACUACGUGCCAGCAGCCGCGGUAAUACGUAGGUCCCGAUCGUUGUCCGGAUUUAUUGGGCGUAAAGCGACCGCAGGCGGUUAGAAAAGUCUGAAGUGAAAGGCAGUGGCUCAACCAUGGUAGGCAUUGGAAACGGUUUAACUUGAGUGAAGAAGGGGAGAGUGGAAUUCCAUGUGUAGCGGUGAAAUGCGUAGAUAUAUGGAGGAACACCGGUGGCGAAAGCGGCUUUCUGGUCUGGAACUGACGCUGAGGAUCGAAGGUGAGGGUAUCGAACAGG